CGAAUGCUGACAUAAGUAACGAUAAAGCGGGUGAAAAGCCCGCUCGCCGGAAGACCAAGGGUUCCUGUCCAACGUUAAUCGGGGCAGGGUGAGUCGACCCCUAAGGCGAGGCCGAAAGGCGUAGUCGAUGGGAAACAGGUUAAUAUUCCUGUACUUGGUGUUACUGCGAAGGGGGGACGGAGAAGGCUAUGUUGGCCGGGCGACGGUUGUCCCGGUUUAAGCGUGUAGGCUGGUUUUCCAGGCAAAUCCGGAAAAUCAAGGCUGAGGCGUGAUGACGAGGCACUACGGUGCUGAAGCAACAAAUGCCCUGCUUCCAGGAAAAGCCUCUAAGCAUCAGGUAACAUCAAAUCGUACCCCAAACCGACACAGGUGGUCAGGUAGAGAAUACCAAGGCGCUUGAGAGAACUCGGGUGAAGGAACUAGGCAAAAUGGUGCCGUAACUUCGGGAGAAGGCACGCUGAUAUGUAGGUGAAGUCCCUCGCGGAUGGAGCUGAAAUCAGUCGAAGAUACCAGCUGGCUGCAACUGUUUAUUAAAAACACAGCACUGUGCAAACACGAAAGUGGACG
rnacentral:rRNA from 1 species